AUUGAACGCUGGCGGCAGGCCUAACACAUUCAAGUCGAACGAGUGGCGGACGGGUGAGUAAUGUCUGGUAAACUGCCCGAUGGAGGGGGAUAACUACUGGAAACGGUAGCUAAUCCCGCAUACCAUCCGAUUUGUCCAGAUGGGAUUAGCUAGUAGGUGGGGUAACGGCUCACCUAGGCGACGAUCCCUAGAUGGUCUGAGAGGAUGACCAGCAACAAGGGAACUGAGACACGGUCCAGACUCCUACGGGAGGCAGCAGUGGGGAAUAUUGCACAAUGGGCGAAAGCCUGAUGCAGCCAUGCCGCGUGUAUGAAGAAGGCCUUCGGGUUGUAAAGUACUUUCAGCGAGGAGGCGUUACUCGAAGAAGAAGCAACGGCUAACUCCGUGCCAGCAGCCGCGGUAAUAC
rnacentral:rRNA from 1 species